rnacentral:rRNA from 1 species
GACGAACGCUGGCGGCGUGCCUAAUACAUGCAAGUAGAACGCUGAAGGAGGAGCUUGCUUCUCUGGAUGAGUUGCGAACGGGUGAGUAACGCGUAGGUAACCUGCCUGGUAGCGGGGGAUAACUAUUGGAAACGAUAGCUAAUACCGCAUAAGAGUGGAUGUUGCAUGACAUUUGCUUAAAAGGUGCACUUGCAUCACUACCAGAUGGACCUGCGUUGUAUUAGCUAGUUGGUGGGGUAACGGCUCACCAAGGCGACGAUACGUAGCCGACCUGAGAGGGUGAUCGGCCACACUGGGACUGAGACACGGCCCAGACUCCUACGGGAGGCAGCAGUAGGGAAUCUUCGGCAAUGGACGGAAGUCUGACCGAGCAACGCCGCGUGAGUGAAGAAGGUUUUCGGAUCGUAAAGCUCUGUUGUAAGAGAAGAACGAGUGUGAGAGUGGAAAGUUCACACUGUGACGGUAUCUUACCAGAAAGGGACGGCUAACUACGUGCCAGCAGCCGCGGUAAUACGUAGGUCCCGAGCGUUGUCCGGAUUUAUUGGGCGUAAAGCGAGCGCAGGCGGUUAGAUAAGUCUGAAGUUAAAGGCUGUGGCUUAACCAUAGUAGGCUUUGGAAACUGUUUAACUUGAGUGCAAGAGGGGAGAGUGGAAUUCCAUGUGUAGCGGUGAAAUGCGUAGAUAUAUGGAGGAACACCGGUGGCGAAAGCGGCUCUCUGGCUUGUAACUGACGCUGAGGCUCGAAAGCGUGGGGAGCAAACAGG